GCACCCCAGUAAACAGAGCCCCUGGCUUUUCAUUGGUUGAGUCUUUGCCAGGAAAGAAGAGGAGUCUUUCUUCUUCCUGUUGCAUUCUGCUCUUAACACAGGGCAUGAGAGCGCCUUCUUCUGGUUUCCCAACUAUAUUUAAUUGAGAUUUCUGUUAAUCAGUUUUUUCACUUUACUUGAACAGAGUUUCUGGAGAGAAUCUAUUAUAUACCCAGUAUGUUUCUAGUUGUUAUAGAUACAGCAGUCAAAAAGACUGGCAGGAGUUCCCGUUGUGGUGCAGUGGAAACAAAUCCGACUAGGAACCAUGAGGUUGGGGGUUUGAUCCCUGGCCUUGCCCAGUGGAUUACAGAUCCAACUUUGCUGUAAGCUGUGGUGGGUCAAAUCAGAGCUGUAACUGCCAGCCUGCACCACAGCCACAGCAAUGCCAGAUCUAAGCCACAUCUGUGACCUAUACCAAAAUGCCGGAUCCUUGACCCACUGAAUGAGGCCAGGAGUGGAACCUGCGUCCUCAUAGAUGCUAGUCAGAUUUGCUUCCGAUGAGCCGCGAUGGGAACUCCGGGAUACUUAAUUUUAUGUUGGGGUUUGUUUGAGGUUUUUUGCUACCUUUUACAUUUUGGAGUGUGACUAUAUUAUCUAUUCAGAAGCAUCUUUAAAUAAAAUGAACAUGUCAGGAAUGUUCAUUGUGAUGUCAUUUAAAAAUGAAAAUGUGCAAAACCAUCUAAAUUUCUCUCAACAGUAUGUAUAAAUUGGGGUCAAAUCAUGCAGUGACAUAUGUGAGCAUAGUUGAAAUAAAUGGGUUAAGCUUUUUAUGUCAGUAUAGAUAAAUCUCAAAUUUAUAAUGUUAAGUGAGAAAGAUAAGUUACACACCCAGCGGGAUUUUAUCAAUGGAAAGUUUGAAAAUACAGUAAAUAAUGCAUUUCAGCUAUGAUGUUUUAUUCUUUUUUUUUUUUUUUUAAACCAAAAUGUCUUUAACGGGAUGGUUUCCUGUUCAUCUGGAUUCAGGGUGCUUUUAGUGCUGCUUCCAUCAGAAGGAGCAGCCUCUGUAAGCCUUGCCUUUCCUCCUGUAGGCUGGUAAAGGACAGUAGAGCAGCCAGCACAUAAAACCACUUGUGUAUGGCUAAAGAUGGUGGUGAUUUUAUAGCAUCCUGGGCAUUUCACUUCCAUGAAAUAGGAAUUGGGGCUCUGUACCAGGCACUUCUUGUUGUUUCCUCUUUCCUCUGCUGGGGAGGGAUGAAGAUCUUUUGCAAGGGGUAUGUUCCCAUAGGGAGAGUGUCACCACUGGAAAGCUGUUUUAUUCUUUAAAAAAGAAAUGUAAUGGAUGUAUAGCACAAAAUCUUAUAAACCCAUUAAGCUGGGUACGUGUAUUUUUGUUGUUAUCCUUUGUACUUUUUUUAGUGUGUUUGAAAUACUGAACAGUUCUUUUUUUAAGUUAAGAAUAUGCCAGAGUUCCCAUUGUGGCUCAGUGUAAGAACCUGACUAGCAUCUAUGAGGAUGCAGGUUCAAUCCCUGGCCUCGCUCAGUGGAUUAAGGAUCCAGUGUUGCCGAAAGCUGUGCUGUAGGUUGCAGAAGCAGCUUGGAUCCAGUGUUGCUUUGGCUGUGGCAUAGGUAGGCAGCUGCAGCUCUCAUUCAACCCCUAGCCCAGAAAUAGCCACAUGCCACACGUGGGACCCUUAAAAAGUUAAGAAAAUGUGCCUAAGAGUUCCCACUGUGGCACAUUGGGAUCAGCGGCACCUUGGGAGCACUGGCACACAGGUUUAAUCCCCUGCCUGGCAUAGCGGAUUAAGUAUCCAGCUUUGCUGCAGCUACAACUUAGGUCACAGCUACUGCUUGUAUCUGAUCCUUGGCCCAGGAACUCCAUAUGCUGCAGGAUGGCCAAGAAAGAAAAAAAAAAGAAAAA
rnacentral:lncRNA from 1 species